UACGAAGGGGGCUAGCGUUGCUCGGAAUCACUGGGUUUAAAGGGUGCGUAGGUGGGCAAGUAAGUCAGUGGUGAAAUCUCCGGGCUUAACCCGGAAACUGCCAUUGAUACUAUUUGUCUUGAAUACUGUGGAGGUCAGCGGAAUAUGUCAUGUAGCGGUGAAAUGCUUAGAUAUGACAUAGAACACCAAUUGCGAAGGCAGCUGGCUACACAUAUAUUGACACUGAGGCACGAAAGCGUGGGGAUCAAACAGG
rnacentral:rRNA from 1 species